rnacentral:other from 1 species
CGCCUUCUGCGGUGUUCGUGUAGAGCUGGGAAACUCUCGACCCUAUAGCAACCACCUCGGGUAAUGGCUCUGUCGGUUUUAUUGAGCAAGUCUGCCUUGGAGCAGAAAGCCUACGAAACCACGGCCUGUCCCACUUAUUUGACUGGCUCGAGAGCGAUAUUUUUAUACGGCAUUGCGGGGGCGC